GACGAACGCUGGCGGCGUGCUUAACACAUGCAAGUCGAGCGGAAAGGCCCUUCGGGGUACUCGAGCGGCGAACGGGUGAGUAACACGUGAGUAACCUGCCCCGGACUUUGGGAUAACCCUCGGAAACGGGGGCUAAUACCGGAUACGACACAGCUUCGCAUGGGGUCUGUGUGGAAAGUUUUUCGGUUUGGGAUGGGCUCGCGGCCUAUCAGCUUGUUGGUGGGGUGAUGGCCUACCAAGGCGACGACGGGUAGCCGGCCUGAGAGGGCGACCGGCCACACUGGGACUGAGACACGGCCCAGACUCCUACGGGAGGCAGCAGUGGGGAAUAUUGCACAAUGGGCGGAAGCCUGAUGCAGCGACGCCGCGUGAGGGAUGACGGCCUUCGGGUUGUAAACCUCUUUCAGCAGGGACGAAGCGUAAGUGACGGUACCUGCAGAAGAAGCGCCGGCCAACUACGUG
rnacentral:rRNA from 1 species